CACGAUGUCCGGCAACAGUAAUCCAAGAUGGUGAUACAUACCAACCAGGCUUAAAGAACUAUCUUCACCCAGCAGAACCCGGUAUACACACGGCUACCAAGAUAAAAGUUACAGCAAAGCAUGAAGCCAAAGGAAAUGUUUUUACCAAGUCAUGUUCCUCAAUAGCGGAGAGAGUUUUAUCCAGUGUCGGUUCUGCAGAAGAACCCAUUCAUAGCAGACCACCCAUGGCAGCACUUGUAAGGUUGCUACAAAGAACCCGACAGACUCUGCGACCAAAAGAUCCCACUGACGUGUCGUCAAGCCUUGACGAAGAUUUCAUCGAUCAUAGUGCACCGGGAUUUUAUCAAAAAAGAGUAAAAGUUGGGGAAAGGCGCCAUCACAUUUUUUGUACUGAUAGACAGAUGCAACUACUCGCACGCGCAAAAACUUGGUAAAUGGAUGCAACUUUUCGGGUGGUGAACAAGCCAUGGUCUCAGCUGUUUUCCAUCCACGCCUUCAUUAAGACUGGAGAGACCACCCGACAGUUACCAUUGGUGUUUUGUGUAAUGUAGGGUAAAAGCCAAGACGACUAUUAUAAGUCAAUGAUGAUAUGUGACUCUUUCCACCUUCCAGCAAUAAUUAUUGAGAAUUUACCAAGGACUCCAUUGGCAUUGAAUCGAAGAAAAACAGUUUCAAUAUUGAAUGUUUAUGCAAAUCACCCAGAAAAAGAUCAUGUAAUAACAAAAGAAAUUAUAAAAGAAAAAAAUGGAAGAAGAAAUGGCUGGAAAAAAUGAUGAUAGAGCAGCUUUUUCUUGUUACCCACCUCGGAAGAUCAAGUUGGAAAGGGCUAUUGAUAUUGUGGAGACGUUUUCUCACAGAUCUUGCUUAUCAGACAAAGACUAUGUAAGUACCAUGCAUAUUUGCUUUUUAAAUCAGGAACUGGUUUUAUACACUUGGUGGGGGGGUUGGAUGGACGUUAAACCCCAUUUCUCUCUCUCUCUCCUAAAUAUUGAGAUUUUUGUUUACUUUUAAACUGCAUAUAUUCAAGGUAUCAGGAGCUUUUUAUGGCUCCCGUACAAUUUUAUAAACAUGAAGGACUGUACCUUUUGAAUAUUAAGCCAUCAAAUUAUUUUAUAAUUUUGAAAAUGAAAUGAAAUGGGGUUUAACAUCCUACUGUUUUGCUCAUAAAUUGGGCUAAUGAGGACGGGCAUACGCCAUACAGUGUGCUAUGAAGGGAAUUUUGCCCGGGCAGCGGCGCUACAGCCUACUCUUAUAUCGAAUUCCAAUUGCCAAGGAAUCUUUUACGUGCACGCCAAUGUGUACACGGGGCCUCGGUUUUUCGUCCCAUCCGAACGACUAGACAGCUGUCCUUGUCAGGUCCUCCGUCCUGUAUCACUGACAAGGGGAAAACACGCAAAAUGUAAGUAACAUAUAUAUUUGUAUUUUUAAUCAGGAAGUACUUCUAUACACUUGCUUGGUAAUCUAGUUAUUCUUCUUGGGGCAAUGCAUAGGACUCUGCUGUUUCAAGUACUUGGCAUGCUUGAUUUUUGCCAAUCACAUCCAUUGAUUUCCUUCAAGUUGCGAUAGGCCCUACAUGUAUGUGUAUUUUUACAGUAAAUAGCAGUAAAAUAAUGAUGGACAGUAUUUUACUUUCAAAUAGAUUUCAAUAGAUUUUAAAGGUAAUAUCCAAUUUGUUGUCAAUGGAAAUAAAAUAAGAAUGGGUCCAAAAAUAAUUAGACAUUGCCAAGUAAAUAGGUGCUGCCAUGAUGGAGUAGGGAAUCUGGAUUUGCAGACAAUACAUGUAUGAAAGGGUGAAUAGUUGACCUAUUAUGAGACUUCAGUCCCAAAUCUCAAGACUUUUUUCUGACUUCUAACUCAUUUGAUUUGAGCAUAAUAAUCUGCCUGGGUCUGUAACUGGACAAGACACAAUAAGCGUUACGCAAAGUUGAAACCAAAUAGAGACUCGGUCUCGAUGUGGCAAAAUAAAUUGUUUAUUUAAACGUUGUGAACCAUAGAAAGUAUUCUUAUCUCCUACUUUUUAU